rnacentral:snRNA from 1 species
GGAUGUGAGGGAGAUCUGGCUGGGAUAUGUCACCCCACUGAUCGCCAGGGUAGAUUUGCCUGAUCUGGCUGGCUAAGGUGGGUGUCCCCUUCCUCCCUCACCGCCCCAUGUGNNNNNNNNNNNNNNCCCCCCGAAGCUGCCCGCUCAGUUGCUCAGCCAUAGAGGAUGACCUUUGCCAACAGAGGAAGACUUCUUCCAUCAAGGAUAUAUGAGUAGCUGUGCUCUCCUGCUAGGACCUCCACACAGGCUCUCAAAAGUCAACUGAUCGUUCAUAAAAGGGAAACACCACUGAUAAUUUGUAAAAUGGAAACACAUUUGAAAACUAGCAACUCACAUUCUUAUGUUUGUUUAUAUU